rnacentral:rRNA from 1 species
ACCUGCUCCAUGAAAAAUUUUUAAAUAGCUGCAAUUUUUGUACUAAGGUAGCAUAAUCAUUUGUUUUUUAAUUUUAAACUAGAAUGAAAGGUAAAACAAAUUAUUUCUUUAUUAUUUAUUUUUUUAUAACUUAUAUUAAAUAUAAAAAUAUAUUUUUUUAAAAAAAAGACGACAAGACCCUAUUGAACUUUACUUUAGUUUAGCUGGGGAAGCUAAAUAACAAAUAUUUUAUUAUAAUUUUAUAAAUGACCCAAAAUAUUUGAAUAAAUAAUCAAGUUACCAUAGGGAUAACAGCGCAAUAAAUUUUUAAAGUUCUUAUUUUAAAAUUUGCUUACGACCUCGAUGUUGAAUUAAAAAUCUUUACU